rnacentral:rRNA from 1 species
GCUACAAUGGGUGGGCACAGAGGGUUGCCACGGAGCAAUCCGGAGCGAAUCCCUUAAAACCAUCCUCAGUUCGGAUUGUAGGCUGCAAUCGCCUGCAUGAAGCCGGAGCUGCUAGUAACCGCAGGUCAGCUAUACUGCGGUGAAUACGUUCUCGGGCCUU